CCGGCCCACUGGCUACUCAUGCAAUAGUGCUACCCAUAUUGAUAAUGUAGUAAUUGAUUUUUCAUAUGAUUCCGGGACAUAGCCAAUCUGUUGGGCAUAAGUAGGGGAUGAUUGUUAGGGAUCUCCGACUUCAGUAGAUACAGUAAGAUCUACCUGUGACUAAAUUGUGACUUGUUAAUUCAUUACUCUCUUGGAUUAAAUAUCAGUCUUACAGACAUUAUGAUAAUAAGUGAAAGCUGACAAACGUGUUCACUGGGUGAUGACAGAGUCCGAUAUUCUGACAUAGAUGUAACCAGUCAAUGCCAGCUCAACAGAUCGCCUCCUAGUGAAUUGACCAAUAUGGAUCGAUGUGAUGAAUGAAAUGUGUCUAUUUCUAUGGGAGGCCACCAUGCAGUUUUGCAGGUGAUGUAUAGGUUACAAUGAAUAAAAACAAUGGAAGAGGGAGCUGUCAGGAAACCCUCUGGACGUGGCCAGCGUGACAAGUCGAGGAAGCUUUCUGGACGUGGCCAACAUGAAAGGGGUAGGAAAGUGUUGGGUCCUGGAAGAGUAGUGUGCUGGGGCUGUAAUGAGUUUGGUCAGAAUUCUAAACAAGCCAAGGAUGAUGUCGCCUUUAAAGAUGGUCUCCUGAGCCAUUUCAGCAGUGACCUUGGUGGUCAAGUGAAAGUCGCUGCCUGUGGAGCCAGUCACACUCUUGUCGUUACAGAUUCCAAUGAGAUCUAUGCCUGGGGGAAUGGCAACAGUGGACAACUUGGAACUUGGGACAUGGAAAGUAGCUGUGAGCCGAGACGAAUCGAGUUGGUGGGUAUGCCCCCAGAUACUGUGGUGUCUGACCGUCUCCAGGUGAUACAGAACAAGUUGACCCAGAGGGCGGGGCGUCCAGAGGUGGUGGGUGUGGCCUGUGGAGGGAGACACUCAAUGGUUGUCUUUAGCAACGGGCAGGUAUACAGCUUUGGAAACAACUUCUACGCCCAGCUUGGCUACAACUUCAGGGAAAAAAACUACAAAGAAAACCAGAUAAAGCCGUACCUGCUUAAGUCCCUGAUUGGCAGACCUGUGUCUGAGGUAGCUUGUGGAGACAAGCACUCCAUCUUCAGAUUUCAGUCUGGCUCCAUCGCUUGUGUCGGGUGCAAUUCCACUGGACAGAUAGGGACAGGUGACAGAGAGGAAGCACUAGUGCCAAAGAUCCUCGAGAUGACUGGUCCAAUCACACAUGUGGCAUGUGGCUCCAACCAUAGUCUAGCAAUUUCAGACAAAGGCGAGGUGUAUAUCUGGGGCUACGGAAAGGCAUGUGGAAAUAAAUCCUCUGAUGUGUUGUCUCCUGUUCUCAUGGAAACUGGAAGAAGCAAGGUCACGAAGGUCGCUGGUGGAAUGUAUCACAGCAUGGCACUUACAGCCUCUGGAAAUAUCUACACCUGGGGAGCUGGAUCAGAUGGGCAACUAGGACACGGUGACCAAGUUUUGUUUCUGUCGGAACCUCAGCGACUAAAAAAUCACCAUCUUAGAGGAAAGAUCAUACACAUAUCUUCUGGAGAGUCGUUCUCUGCUGCAGUUACAGAAAAUGGCCGCCUGUAUAUGUGGGGUAAGAACAGUCACACGAUCCAUCCAGAUGAAGCUUCCGGUCAUCGUGUCUGGGAGCCACACUGUGUGAACUCCAGGGGUCAACCAGUACAAUAUAUUACCUGUGGGUCGUGGCAUGCUGUCAGCAUCACUGGUUCUCCAGAGUUUAUAAGGAGAGGCAGUGUUGACAAGUUGGAGUUUUCGGAUUCCGUGUGUUUGGAUCAUUCCGAGGGGUCUGUAGAGGAUUCGGCAGACAUAGAUCAUUGUGAUUCUGUGAUUACACCAGAGGACUUAGGAAACACAAACCAGGACCUGUUUACAGAGACCACAGACGAAGUGGGAGUGUUUCUGCCCAGUCUGAGCCUGCGGCGGGACAUGACUGCAGUAGACAGGGACAAAACCAAGCUCAGUCUAGCAGAAUUUUAUGCACCCACACCAGACAUCCCUCGUGAACCAGCAAUGCAUGAAGAUGAGGACACAGAACAGGUCGCAGACAUUGGCAACAUACCUGUGAGUGCACGAUCUACUAAGUUAGUGGUUCAGGUUCCGAUGAACAGUGAAAAAAAAGAACCGCAGAUGGCUGCUCAACACAGGUGUGAUGUGGCUACCUCACCCAUCCCCUUCAGCAGCUCUGAGUCGGAGAGUGCUGCCCAGGAAUAUGUCAGUCCAGCGCCCACCAAGGUGGACAGCGAGCGGACCAUACCGCAGGACUUGUCGGAGAGUCAAGAAGCACGGGAGGACCGUGAAUUCCGUGCCAAGAUACCAAAAACUUACAACAGGGAAGACAUGACCAAAAUGCAUGCGCUCCUUAACUACGAACGUCAGAAAACAUGUGGGAUAAAGCAUCCCCCUUCUGUUGUGCAAAUCAGUCGAACUUCUGCGGAUAGCUUUAUGCUGCCUAGGGAAAAUACAGGUUUUACUAGUAAACAAAUUGACUUUGCCGAAAUGGAACAUUUAAGAUCUAGAGGCAAUAAUAAAUCUCCUGAAAAAAUUCUCAAAAUUCAAGGGAAAUCCACUACAGAUGGUGGAGUGGUUAGAUUGUUUGAAUCACCAUAUACAAGUAGAUCCUACACUGAGGAUGGUCCUAGUAGAAUACAGGCUAUAGACCAUAGGAACUCUCCCUACAGCCGAGGUGGCGACAAUUUUCUUCAUAAAUUCCCUGAUGGCCGAUUCAUGGACAGUCCUGCCUUACGGUCAGGUCGUCAUAGUGAGACCACGAUUAUUAACCUAUCUCAGUUUGAGCGAGCGGCCAGUAAUUAUGCUGUGUUGGUUUCUCGUGCGUCAGAAAGUUCUCUGGCUGAUUACGCUCGGAGUUGGGCUGCUCCAGAGACUUCUGAUGAUAGUCGGCUGUCCCAGGCCAAGUCAUACGUCAAACAUCCUCAGCCCAUCAAGAACAGUAUCCCUAACAAGAACAACAAAGCCAACUUCAGGGUCAUAGAAAUCGUCAACUCAUUCUGUAGGGACGGUCAUCGACUCAAUUUGUGGGGAUGGUCAUAGUUUUCCAACUGGACUGACCUUGUAGGGAUGACCUUAGAUGUCAUCAACACUUUUGAACUACAAGAUUUCUAGCUUUAUUCGCCGACGGAAGUUACAGAUAUCGCGGUCAAACACUGUGGUGGCAG
rnacentral:misc_RNA from 1 species